rnacentral:misc_RNA from 1 species
UCGAGUUUUUGAAAGAGGUUGUAGCUGGCCCUUUCCGGGGCAUGUGCACGCCUUGCUCAAUUCCAACUCUUUUAACACCUGUGCACAAUUUGUAGGUUUGGUUAUAAUAACGAAGAGGAGGCAAAUUGUCUCUUCCGAGUCAUAAUACCUUCCUAUGUUUUAUUAUAAACUUCUAUUGUAUCAGAAUGUAUUUUGGGCUAUAUAUGAAAUAUAUA